rnacentral:rRNA from 1 species
UACGUAGGUGGCGAGCGUUUGUCCGGAUUUACUGGGCGUAAAGAGCGCGCAGGCGGUCGGAUCAGUCGAAUGUGAAAGCCCCCGGCUUAACUGGGGAGGGUCAUUCGAUACUGUUCGACUCGAAGGCAGGAGAGGGAAGUGGAAUUCCCGGUGUAGUGGUGAAAUGCGUAGAUAUCGGGAGGAACACCAGUGGCGAAGGCGACUUUCUGGCCUGUUCUUGACGCUGAGGCGCGAAAGCUAGGGGGAGCAAACGGGG